rnacentral:rRNA from 1 species
CGGCAUCGCUGGGUAGCUAUGUAUGGACGGGAUAAGUGCUGAAAGCAUCUAAGCAUGAAGCCCCCCUCAAGAUGAGAUUUCCCAACUUCGGUUAUAAGAUCCCUCAAAGAUGAUGAGGUUAAUAGGUUCGAGGUGGAAGCAUGGCGACAUGUGGAGCUGACGAAUACUAAUCGAUCGAAGACUUAAUCAA